rnacentral:misc_RNA from 1 species
GAACUGCGAUACGUAAUGUGACUUGCAGAAUCUCGUGAAUCAUCAAAUCUUUGAACGCAAAUGGCGCUCCUGUGCAAGGAGCACGCCUGUCUGAGUAUCAUUUACCUCUCCUUCCGCGGUGUGCGGCUCAGGCCGUGCCUGCGGGUCGUUUGAGGGCUGUCACGCAGCUUUCCCUUCGGGGCUAGCCGCGCGUCCCUUUAAAUUCACACGAACAAAACCUUGCGUGGCGCGUGCGGACACCCCGGACACAUCAGCCCACCCUGUUUCGCUCUUGCGCUGUAAGCAUCUAGCUCCUCGCAUCGGCGGACCAGGCGCGGCGUCCGGGCGUAAUUCGCGCGCGCCCUGCGCAUUUUUUUCUGUGAUCUCAGAUCAGGCGAGAGGACCCGCUGAACUUAA